rnacentral:rRNA from 1 species
AGACGACGCUGGCGGCAUGCCUAACACAUGCAAGUCGAACGAGACCUUCGGGUCUAGUGGCGCACGGGUGCGUAACGCGUGGGAAUCUGCCCUUUGCUUCGGAAUAACAGUUAGAAAUGACUGCUAAUACCGGAUGAUGUCUUCGGGCCAAAGAUUUAUCGGCAAAGGAUGAGCCCGCGUAGGAUUAGGUAGUUGGUGGGGUAAAGGCCUACCAAGCCGACGAUCCUUAGCUGGUCUGAGAGGAUGAUCAGCCACACUGGGACUGAGACACGGCCCAGACUCCUACGGGAGGCAGCAGUGGGGAAUAUUGGACAAUGGGCGAAAGCCUGAUCCAGCAAUGCCGCGUGAGUGAUGAAGGCCUUCGGGUCGUAAAGCUCUUUUACCAGGGAUGAUAAUGACAGUACCUGGAGAAUAAGCUCCGGCUAACUCCGUG